rnacentral:lncRNA from 1 species
CGGGGAAGAAGACACAGGUGGCUGGUCAUGGAGAGCCCGCUGGGGGAAGAGCACACAGACAGGCACCGGCAGGCCAUUGACCAGCGGGACAAGGUGGGCUCAAUGUCAUCACAAGGGUGCUUAAGAGGGAAAGAGGAAGCCAUGAGGGUCAGAGUCAAAGGAAGACUUGAAGAUACUACACUGCGGACUUUAAAGAUGAAGGAAGGGGCGAAAACCAAGAAUGUGGGAAGCCUCUAGAAGCUAGAGAAGGCAAGGAAACAAAUUUUCCACUAGAGCCUCCAGAAGGAACACAGCCCUGCUGACCCACUGUAAUGUCUGACCUCUAGAUGUGUAAGGGUAGUAAGACUGAAAGUCUCAGAAAGGCACUGUUAAAUUCUUAUUCCUCAACUAUGCAACUCAAAACUGGGGUCCUCAGCAGUGAGCGAGGGGUGAGAGAAGACACUGUAUAAACAUGGCACAUCCUCCUGGAAAGUCAACUUUACUCAAAGGUUCUUACACACAGUGACAGCUAGCAGAGUCUAAAAUGCUGACAUUAUGACUUAGAGAUGUGAUAAAGAGAAACAUCUAUUGCAUUUUCUUGGCUCGUGUGGAAUGACUUAUCCUGGAAUUUAGAGUUGAAGAUAAUCCUGAUGCUUCAAAGAGAAGAGUUGGAACACAGUCCUUUUUUCUAAACAGAGGAAUUGUUGAAUAUGCGACUGAACCUCUGACUUAACUAAUUAGUUAAUUUGGAGCAGAGUUUGAACACAGUCCUUUUUCUAAACAGAGGAAUUGUUGAAUAUGCAACUGGUCCUCUGACUUAACUAAUUAUUUAAUUUGGAAGUUAUAGGUUUUUUAUUACUUGAGGAGCAGCUUUCUCUGAACAAAUACAGUGUCCCCUGGGGUGUCCAAAUUGUGACAGAAAAGUAGCGCCAGCUUGAAACUAGCUAGUCAUCACAUAGUGGCAUCAUGUGAAUGAAGAAUCCCCCAAAUCUGUGACCCUCUUCUAUCCUUAUGAACUAAUUCAAUAAAUAAAUGAGCACUUUCUCAGUUCCCAAACUGAGAGCAGUUUAAAAAAAUAAUGAGAGCACAGAUAUCUAUUUAGAGAGAUGGCGAGAUAGAGGAGAGAGCAAGUUGCACACCACGAAACAAAGGGAAAGAUAAGAAGAGAGAGUGUGUCACUACUUCCCCGUGGCAGAAUCACAAUCUUUUUUGGAUGUCAUGUUGAAAAGAUUCCCAAUUCGUAGUUCUGUGAGCUAAAGCAGAUGGAUGCUCCAUGUUGGUACAAAUUCCUAUUUGAAGCAGUGUGGUUGCAAAGAUGGGGUUUGGGUCAUUUGAUUUUCUCCGAAAAACAAUCUUGUGUAACUGUUAAAAGAAUU